UGGGGAAUAUUGCACAAUGGAGGGAACUCUGAUGCAGCGACGCCGCGUGAACGAAGAAGGCUUUCGAGUCGUAAAGUUAUUUUAUAUGGGAAGAUAAUGACGGUACCAUAAGAAAAAGCCCCGGCUAACUACGUGCCAGCAGCCGCGGUAAUACGUAGGGGGCUAGCGUUGUCCGGAAUCACUGGGCGUAAAGGGUUCGCAGGCGGAAAUGCAAGUCAGGUGUAAAAGGCAGUAGCUUAACUACUGUAAGCAUUUGAAACUGCAUAUCUUGAGAAGAGUAGAGGUAAGUGGAAUUUUUAGUGUAGCGGUGAAAUGCGUAGAUAUUAAAAAGAAUACCGGUGGCGAAGGCGGCUUACUGGGCUCAUUCUGACGCUGAGGAACGAAAGCGUGGGUAGCAAACAGG
rnacentral:rRNA from 1 species